CCGGCGUCCUGGCAUAGGGGUAGCGCGCCCUCCCCGUGAUCUGGGAGUCCUGGCUUCGAGUCCCGGUUUGGGCAUGGUUGUUCUUCCGUUCUUCUAUCUGUGAGAUGUGUGGAUGUGCCCUCCUGUGAAAAGGGGUUGUGCAAGCGAAUGAGUGAUGCGUGAGUAGCAAAGUCGUACUCUUCGCCCUAGUUGGCGCUACUAAAAAAGCAAGAGACGCUCCCCCACCGGCUUAAAUCGCUGUCUUCAUAACAGAGGGCUUGUCCAUUGCGAGUGCCAUAAGAAACAACUACAACGUAUUUAUUAUAAUUUAAUAUCUUCAGUCAAAUUGUUACUCCACAUCGAACCUUCAAAGCAUACCAGACGAUAUUUUUUGGUAAGAGCAAGCAAGAAAUACAAGUGAGGGAGCAGCCGAGAAAAAGCUGAACAUCUGCUCUUGGAGUGCAGGAUUUGGAAACAUAAAAGAGAAACCCUGAAGUUAGAUUGGAAGGUUGCUUUGAAAACUCUCCUUUUGUAUACAAGUUUUCAAAAGUUUUGAAAAAAUAUUCUUCACUGACUCUUAACUCAAGAAUUUUGGCAUGCAUGUCUAUUUAAAAUAUCUUUUUCCCAUCCAUAUUUAAAUAAUAUCUAGUAUUUUUUUAUAUACUCUUAUUUGGUCAUUCCUAUCUUAUUCUAUAAUAAAUUUCUUACUUUAAGUAGUUA